UGGGCUAGAAAAUGCAGAAAUCUGGGAGAAGUCUCGGAGUGCCCUUCGGGGAAUCUGUAGUUAGGUGCUGCAUGGCUGUCGUCAGCUCGUGUCGUGAGAUGUUGGUUAAGUCCCGCAACGAGCGCAACCCCUAUCAUUAGUUACCAGCGGGUCAUGCCGGGAACUCUAAUGAGACCGCCGAUAUUCAAAUCGGAGGAAGGUGGGGACGACGUCAAGUCAUCAUGGCCCUUAUGUCCAGGGCUACACACGUGCUACAAUGGUCAGCACAAAGCGCUGCAAACCCGCGAGGGGGAGCCAAUCGCAAAAAACUGACCUCAGUACAGAUAAGAGUCUGCAACUCGACUCUUUGAAGUUGGAAUCGCUAGUAAUCCCUGAUCAGCAGGCAGGGGUGAAUACGUUCCCGGGCCUUGUACACACC
rnacentral:rRNA from 1 species